AGUUUGAUCCUGGCUCAGGAUGAACGCUAGCUACAGGCUUAACACAUGCAAGUCGAGGGGCAGCAUUUUAGUUUGCUUGCAAACUGAAGAUGGCGACCGGCGCACGGGUGAGUAACACGUAUCCAACCUGCCGAUAACUCCGGGAUAGCCUUUCGAAAGAAAGAUUAAUACCGGAUAGCAUACGAAUAUCGCAUGAUAUUUUUAUUAAAGAAUUUCGGUUAUCGAUGGGGAUGCGUUCCAUUAGUUUGUUGGCGGGGUAACGGCCCACCAAGACAACGAUGGAUAGGGGUUCUGAGAGGAAGGUCCCCCACAUUGGAACUGAGACACGGUCCAAACUCCUACGGGAGGCAGCAGUGAGGAAUAUUGGUCAAUGGGCGAGAGCCUGAACCAGCCAAGUAGCGUGAAGGAUGAAGGCUCUAUGGGUCGUAAACUUCUUUUAUAUGGGAAUAAAGUUUUCCACGUGUGGAAUUUUGUAUGUACCAUAUGAAUAAGGAUCGGCUAACUCCGUGCCAGCAGCCGCGGUAAUACGGAGGAUCCGAGCGUUAUCCGGAUUUAUUGGGUUUAAAGGGAGCGUAGGUGGAUUGUUAAGUCAGUUGUGAAAGUUUGCGGCUCAACCGUAAAAUUGCAGUUGAAACUGGGAGUCUUGAGUACAGUAGAGGUGGGCGGAAUUCGUGGUGUAGCGGUGAAAUGCUUAGAUAUCACGAAGAACUCCGAUUGCGAAGGCAGCUCACUAGACUGUCACUGACACUGAUGCUCGAAAGUGUGGGUAUCAAACAGGAUUAGAUACCCUGGUAGUCCACACAGUAAACGAUGAAUACUCGCUGUUUGCGAUAUACAGUAAGCGGCCAAGCGAAAGCAUUAAGUAUUCCACCUGGGGAGUACGCCGGCAACGGUGAAACUCAAAGGAAUUGACGGGGGCCCGCACAAGCGGAGGAACAUGUGGUUUAAUUCGAUGAUACGCGAGGAACCUUACCCGGGCUUAAAUUGCAACAGAAUAUAUUGGAAACAGUAUAGCCGUAAGGCUGUUGUGAAGGUGCUGCAUGGUUGUCGUCAGCUCGUGCCGUGAGGUGUCGGCUUAAGUGCCAUAACGAGCGCAACCCUUAUCUUUAGUUACUAACAGGUCAUGCUGAGGACUCUAGAGAGACUGCCGUCGUAAGAUGUGAGGAAGGUGGGGAUGACGUCAAAUCAGCACGGCCCUUACGUCCGGGGCUACACACGUGUUACAAUGGGGGGUACAGAAGGCGGCUACCUGGUGACAGGAUGCUAAUCCCAAAAACCUCUCUCAGUUCGGAUCGAAGUCUGCAACCCGACUUCGUGAAGCUGGAUUCGCUAGUAAUCGCGCAUCAGCCAUGGCGCGGUGAAUACGUUCCCGGGCCUUGCACACACCGCCCGUC
rnacentral:rRNA from 1 species